rnacentral:rRNA from 1 species
UUAGAUCAGAAGCGAGAAUGUUGACAUGAGUAGCGAUAAAGAGGGUGAGAGACCCUCUCGCCGUAAGUCCAAGGGUUCCUGCUUAAAGCUAAUCUGAGCAGGGUAAGCCGGCCCCUAAGGCGAGGCCGAAAGGCGUAGUCGAUGGGAACCAGGUUAAUAUUCCUGGGCCAGGAGGAAGUGACGGAUCUCGAAGGUAGUUUGCCCUUAUCGGAUUGGGUGGGCUGCUCAGAGGUUCCAGGAAAUAGCCCUCCAUCAGACCGUACCCUAAACCGACACAGGUGGACUGGUAGAGUAUACCAAGGCGCUUGAGAGAACCACGUUAAAGGAACUCGGCAAAAUGCCUCCGUAAGUUCGCGAGAAGGAGGCCCCAUAUGUGCGCAAGCAUGUGUGGGGGGCACAAACUAGGGGGUGGCGACUGUUUACUUAAAACACAGGGCUGUGCGAAGCCGUAAGGCGACGUAUACAGUCUGACGCCUGCCCGGUGCUGGAAGGUUAAAAGGAGGGGUGCAAGCUCUGAAUUGAAGCCCCAGUAAACGGCGGCCGUAACUAUAACGGUCCUAAGGUAGCGAAAUUCCUUGUCGGGUAAGUUCCGACCUGCACGAAUGGCGUAACGAUCUCCCCGCUGUCUCUAACGUGGACUCAGCGAAAUUGAACUGUGUGUCAAGAUGCACACUACCCGCGGUUAGACGGAAAGACCCCAUGCACCUUUACUCCAGCUUUGCACUGGUAUCAGGAUUGUGAUGUGCAGGAUAGGUGGUAGGCAUCGAAGCGGGGACGCCAGUUCUCGUGGAGCCUCCCUUGAGAUACCACCCUUCGCCAUCUUGAUAUCUAACCGCGGCCCGUUAUCCGGGUCCGGGACCCUGCAUGGUGGGGAGUUUGACUGGGGCGGUCGCCUCCCAAACAGUAACGGAGGCGCGCGAAGGUAGGCUCAGACCGGUCGGAAAUCGGUCGUUGAGUGCAAUGGCAGAAGCCUGCCUGACUGCAAGUCUGACAAGACGAGCAGAGACGAAAGUCGGUCAUAGUGAUCCGGUGGUCCCAAGUGGGAGGGCCAUCGCUCAACGGAUAAAAGGUACGCUGGGGAUAACAGGCUGAUGAUGCCAAGAGUCCAUAUCGACGGCAUCGUUUGGCACCUCGAUGUCGGCUCAUCUCAUCCUGGGGCUGGAGCAGGUCCCAAGGGUAUGGCUGUUCGCCAUUUAAAGAGGUACGUGAGCUGGGUUUAGAACGUCGUGAGACAGUUCGGUCCCUAUCUGCCGUGGGUGUAGGAGACUUGAGAAGAGUUGCCCCUAGUACGAGAGGACCGGGGUGAACGAACCACUGGUGGACCAGUUGUCGUGCCAACGGCAGUGCUGGGUAGCUAUGUUCGGACAGGAUAACCGCUGAAGGCAUCUAAGCGGGAAGCCCCCUUCAAAACAAGGUCUCCCUUGAGAGCCGUGGAAGACCACCACGUCGAUAGGCCGGAGGUGUAAGUGCAGCAAUGCAUUCAGCUGACCGGUACUAAUUGCGC